rnacentral:rRNA from 1 species
CAAUAGCGUAUAUUAAAGUUGUUGCAGUUAAAAAGCUCGUAGUUGGAUUUCUGGUGGGAGCGAUCGGUCUGGCGCUUAGCGCGAGUACUUGCAUCGUCUCCGGCCAUCCUUGGGGAGAGUCUGUCUGGCAUUAGGUUGUCGGGCAGAGGAUCCUCAUCGUUUACUGUGAAAAAAUUAGAGUGUUCAAAGCAGGCUUAUGCCGUUGAAUAUAUUAGCAUGGAAUAAUAAGAUAGGACUUUGGUACUAUUUUGUUGGUUUGCGCGAAGAGGUAAUGAUUAAUAGGGACAGUUGGGGGUAUUCGUAUUCCAUUGUCAGAGGUGAAAUUCUUGGAUUUUUGGAAGACGAACUACUGCGAAAGCAUUUACCAAGGAUGUUUUCAUUAA